AAUGAACGCUGGCGGCAGGCCUAAAACAUGCAAGUCGAACGCUGUAGCAAUACAGAGUGGCGCACGGGUGAGUAACGUGUGGGAAUAUGCCUUUUGGUACGGAACAACUUUUGGAAACGAAAGCUAAUACCGUAUGGUCCCUUCGGGAUAAAGAUUUAUCGCCAAAAGAUUAGCCCGCAUUAGAUUAGCUAGUUGGUGUG
rnacentral:rRNA from 1 species